GCCAGCGGUUCCAGCCUCUGGCCUCCUCCUGAAGGGGAGCACCAGUGCAGUGGGGCCUAGAAGAGCUGUCGCUGCUAAGGAGUCGCACCAUCACCGGGGUCAGAAAAUGAACAUACUGCUUCUGAAGAAGAGAAAAAGGAAAUGUGGAAACAUCCUUGACAAGAAAAGUCUGCUUUUGUGAAUUCAGCAGCAUUACAAGAUGGCAAAGCAGAACCUCCACACAUAACUUUAAUCAGAGCACAUCAAUUUGCCAGGUUAAGAACAUCCAUUAUCCACCUUCUUGCACAGUUCACUCUUGGAAGGCAAGAAGCAUGACGUAACGUUCCAGCUACAUUAGAGGACAUUUACCAGAUAUUUGUUGUAUGGGAUACAAGCCCUUCAAAAUGCCUGACUGAAAGAACAGCAUAGGAACAAACCAAAUUUGCAACUUUGUUUUCUGAAAUACUCUGGAGUGGAGGAAUCACACCUGGUAGCUGACAGCUGAGGAAAUAUGGAAGCAGAACCACAAGCUGCGUAGGCAGCUGUAGGUCAGGGUCAAGAUGGAAAACAAAACAUGUAUUAGGUUAGUUCUCUUGAAAGACUGAAAGAAAGACUACAUAAAAGUUAAGUGGAUAUUUGCAAUAGAUCCUGAAUAUCUCUUAAUCCUUUACUUUACACAUUUAUAAAUUGAGAUGUCUCCUUGGUUUGCUGGAUAAUAAAAGAAAGGGCACUGUACA